AGAGUAAUAGCUCAGUGGUAGAGCACAUGCUUAGUAUGCAUGAGGUCCUGGGUUCAAUUCCCAGUACCUCCA
rnacentral:tRNA from 1 species